rnacentral:rRNA from 1 species
UACGAAGGGUGCAAGCGUUAAUCGGAAUUACUGGGCGUAAAGCGUGCGCAGGCGGUUCGGAAAGAAAGAUGUGAAAUCCCAGGGCUUAACCUUGGAACUGCAUUUUUAACUGCCGGGCUAGAGUAUGUCAGAGGGGGGUAGAAUUCCACGUGUAGCAGUGAAAUGCGUAGAGAUGUGGAGGAAUACCGAUGGCGAAGGCAGCCCCCUGGGAUAAUACUGACGCUCAUGCACGAAAGCGUGGGGAGCAAACAGG